AGUAAUGCUUGGGAAUCUAGCUUAUGAGGGGGAGUAACUACGGGAAACUGUAGCUAAUACCGCGUAGUAUCGAGAGAUGGAAGUGUGGGACCUUCGGGCCACAUGCCAUAGGAUGAGCCCAAGUGGGAUUAGGUAGUUGGUGAGGUAAAGGCUCACCAAGCCGACGAUCUCUAGCUGGUCUGAGAGGAUGACCAGCCACACUGGGACUGAGACACGGCCCAG
rnacentral:rRNA from 1 species